rnacentral:rRNA from 1 species
UACGUAGGGGGCAAGCGUUGUCCGGAAUUAUUGGGCGUAAAGAGCGCGUAGGCGGUCCGAUAAGUCGGCUGUGAAAGUCCAGGGCUCAACCCUGGAAAGCCGGCCGAUACUGUCGGACUAGAGUUCGGAAGAGGCGAGUGGAAUUCCCGGUGUAGCGGUGAAAUGCGCAGAUAUCGGGAGGAACACCAAUUGCGAAGGCGGUUCUCUGGGCCUGUACUGACGCUGAGGAGCGAAAGCGUGGGGAGCGAACAGG